rnacentral:rRNA from 1 species
GUGGGGAAUUUUGGACAAUGGGCGCAAGCCUGAUCCAGCCAUGCCGCGUGAGUGAAGAAGGCCUUCGGGUUGUAAAGCUCUUUCGGCCGGGAAGAAAUCGCGCAGGAUAAUACCCUGUGUGGAUGACGGUACCGGAAUAAGAAGCACCGGCUAACUACGUGCCAGCAGCCGCGGUAAUACGUAGGGUGCGAGCGUUAAUCGGAAUUACUGGGCGUAAAGCGUGCGCAGGCGGUUUUUUAAGACAGGCGUGAAAUCCCCGGGCUCAACCUGGGAACUGCGCUUGUGACUGGAAGACUAGAGUAUGGCAGAGGGGGGUGGAAUUCCACGUGUAGCAGUGAAAUGCGUAGAGAUGUGGAGGAACACCGAUGGCGAAGGCAGCCCCCUGGGCCAAUACUGACGCUCAUGCACGAAAGCGUGGGGAGCAAACAGGAUUAGAUACCCCUGUAGUCC